rnacentral:rRNA from 1 species
GGCGGCGUGCCUAAUACAUGCAAGUCGAGCGGACCAACGAGGAGCUUGCUCCUCAGAGGUCAGCGGCGGACGGGUGAGUAACACGUAGGCAACCUGCCUGUAAGACUGGGAUAACUCCGGGAAACCGGGGCUAAUACCGGAUAACAUCUUCCUCUGCAUAGAGGAGGAUUGAAAGAUGGCUUCUCGCUAUCACUUACAGAUGGGCCCGCGGCGCAUUAGCUAGUUGGUGAGGUAAGGGCUCACCAAGGCGACGAUGCGUAGCCGACCUGAGGGGGUGAUCGCCCACACUGGGACUGAGACACGGCCCAGACUCCUACGGGAGGCAGCAGUAGGGAAUCUUCGGCAAUGGACGAAAGUCUGACCGAGCAACACCGCGUGAGUGAGGAAGGCCUUCGGGUCGUAAAGCUCUGUUGUUAGGGAAGAACAAGUACCGUUCGAACAGGGCGGUACCUUGACGGUACCUAACCAGAAAGCCACGGCUAACUACGUGCCGGCAGCCGCGGUAAUACGUAGGUGGCAAGCGUUGUCCGGAAUUAUUGGGCGUAAAGCGCGCGCAGGCGGUCUCUUAAGUCUGAUGUGAAAGCCCACGGCUCAACCGUGGAGGGUCAUUGGAAACUGGGGGACUUGAGUACUGGAGAGGAGAGUGGAAUUCCAUGUGUAGCGGUGAAAUGCGUAGAUAUAUGGAGGAACACCAGUGGCGAAGGCGGCUCUCUGGCCAGUAACUGACGCUGAGGCGCGAAAGCGUGGGGAGCAAACAGGAUUAGAUACCCUGGUAGUCCACGCCGUAAACGAUGAGUGCUAGGUGUUGGGGGGUUCCACCCUCAGUGCUGACGUUAACACAUUAAGCACUCCGCCUGGGGAGUACGACCGCAAGGUUGAAACUCAAAGGAAUGACGG